rnacentral:rRNA from 1 species
GAUGAACGCUGGCGGUAUGCUUAACACAUGCAAGUCGAACGGACUCUUCGGAGUUAGUGGCGGACGGGUGAGUAACGCGUGAGAAUCUGGCUUUGGGUUCGGGACAACCACUGGAAACGGUGGCUAAUACCGGAUGUGCCGAGAGGUAAAAGAGAAAUUGCCUGAAGAUGAGCUCGCGUCUGAUUAGCUAGUUGGUGAGGUAAAGGCUUACCAAGGCAGCGAUCAGUAGCUGGUAUGAGAGGGUGACCAGCCACAUUGGGACUGAGACACGGCCCAGACGCCUACGGGAGGGAGCGGUGGGGAAUAUUGCCCAAUGGGCGGGAGCGUGAUGCAGCACCGCCGCGUGCGGGAUGACGGCGGUCGGGUGAUAAACCGCUUUCGCCUGUGACAAAGCGUGAGUGACGGUAACUGGUAAAGAAGCACCGGCUAACUACGUG